rnacentral:tRNA from 4 species
GCGCCCGUAGCUCAGUGGAUAGAGUAUUUGCUUGCGGAGCAAAGGGUCGCUGGUUCGAGUCCAGCCGGGCGCG